GGGGAUUUAGCUAAGUGGCAUAAGCGCCUGCCUUGCAAGUAGGCAGUCAUUAGUUCGAUCCCCG
rfam:Cavia porcellus supercont2_78 genomic scaffold, whole genome shotgun sequence.